rnacentral:lncRNA from 1 species
CCUCUCUCAUCAAUACAAUCCUCAACAUACAGCCUAGCUACCUUAAAAAAAUUAUGGAACUUUAUCUUUUUUCACUCCUGAAGAAUAUGAAAGAAAAAUAAGGCCACCCAAAGUCACAACAAGAUAACGCAAAUUACCACACCAUCAGAAUCCAUACAACUCUUCUCAACAACCCUCACAAAUGAUGAUAAAAAAACCCAAUUUCUACCUUUUGAGAAAAAUGUAAAAUCUAGAACCUAACAGCAUUCCAACCUUUAUCCAUUUUCAUAACUAAUGACACCAGCUCUUGAGUCCUUUGCAUCUUCUUCAAAUGAAGAUUAAAAUCCUUUAUAUACGACUGACGAAACACAAGGACCCAAAAGUUGAAGAAUCAUCUGGUGAAGUAUACUCUAGACAACAUGAAGAUGAGAUUUGCCUGACACGGAAGAAGGGCAGACAGUUACAAAUAAUUACAAUUCUCAAUAUAGUAAUUUAUUUGUCAAAUUCACUCUUAAUGAUAUACCACAUUCUCAAUGGAGAUCGAGGUUACAAGAAAUGUUAGCAUGGAGUACUGCACAAUUGACAAAACCUGAUUUGAUGUAUAAUAUGGUCAUCAAAGGAGUUUUGCCAGGCUCACGAACCUUAUGAAAGAAUGGUUCAUAUCCCUUGGAAGCUAUAGACAAUCACAAUGGGCAAAUACCUAUUAUCUUGACGAAUUCUUUGAUAAUCUACACUGGGAGUUUUGUGGAAAACCAGACCAUGCGAAAUGAAAAGGCCCGCGAAAUAUUCUUCCAAUUAAAAUGUUGUUCCUACAAGCCAAAAGAUUUGGACAAAGAUUUUAAAGAAAUCAUGAAACAAUAUUAUAUUCUUGGAGAACUUGAUGAUACUAAUCUCAAACAGCAUACCUUGAAAACUCGAGAAAUAGUAGAUAUUUUCACAAAAGCUCUAAAAGAGAUUUAGGUUGAUUAUAUUUAUAACAAGUUGGACAUGAUUAAUAUAUAUGCUCCAACUUGAAGGGAAUGUUAUAGAAU